UUAAAGCAUAGUCGUACUCGUUGUUAAGUUUAAUCUAUUGUUAUAAAACAAACCGCUCGUAUAAAACUCUUGAUAAACUUUACAAGCCAUCAAAUUCAUAAUGGUUUUGUCAUAUACAUAUUGACAGGAUAUUAACAAGGGUGUAUAAGAACAGAAAUGUUUCUUUUCAUCGCCAUGAGUCUUUUAUGUUGUGUCAAAGUAGUUGAAUGUUCCACACCCAAGCUGAUGAUAAAUCCUAAUUUUACGAUGAUAUAUGAGGGAGAAACAGCAAUGUUGAGUUGUGGCAGAUAUUCCAUAGCCGAUUCAAUUGGUCGUAAUUCUAAACAAGGAUUUAUUUGGACGAAAAAUGGACAAGAACCAAUUAAGUCGGAUGGACGAUUUGCGAUAGAUCAAACGUUGGGGGCGAAAUUGAUCAUAUCAGAGAUGUCGCUUUAUGAUCAGUUUAAUGUCACGUGUUCUGCAAAAUUUGAAAGUAACACGACUGAAAUAAGCAAUGUGUUUACUAUAAAGGUUGCAAAUGCCGUAAUAAUCGAUCCUUCAAGACAUGAAUACAUAUUAGGAGAAGGUGAACAGAUGAAAAACAUCACAUGCUACUCUUCACGCUAUCCGAAUAGUACAUACAAAUGGCAUAAAUUUGUCACUAACUAUACUGAAGUCGGAAACACAAGCGUCUUAUCACUUGGCACUGUAGAUAGACAUGACAAUGGUAAAUACGUGUGCGCUGCUGAGGUUACUGGUUGUCAAUGUUUGAGUCCACCUAUCACUGUCAAUGUUACAUAUGGUCCAGAAAACCUGACACUGUAUCCAAAAAAUCUCUCCUAUGUAUUGACCGAAGGAGAACCGAUUGUCAGACAUAACAUGCGUUGCGACGUGUGGUCCCGAAUUGUGGAUACAGUUGGACUAAAAUAGGCAAUCCAGAGAAUGCUAAUCGCUCAAAUGUGCUAUCUUUUGGUGUAUUGGAUCGAAUGGAGGCUGGAAUUUACUACUGUACAGCGAUCAAUCCUAAGACAGGGAUAUAUAAGCGAGGAUCAAACAUAACUGUGAAUGUCAUUUAUGGACCUGACUCCGAUUUCUUCAACGUAUCUCCCGCAUGGACUGUCAUUGAAGGCCAGGAAGCCCCAAAAAUCACCUGUCGGUCAACAUGCUGGCCUCGCUGUUCUUACAUGUGUAAAUUAUACAACGAUAAGAACGAGACAAUUUUUAAGAGCAAUGGCUGUGAGCUAAUUGUUGGAAAUGUGACCCGAAAUCUUGCCGGAAAUAUUACAUGUUCUGCUGUAAAUAAUAAAAACAAGAAAACAGUAACGAAUACGAGCAGACUCAUAGUCAAUUAUCCUCCGGAUGUUAUAAUGUCUACAGAACAAACCGACUUUCUCGAAGGUCAAACAUUAAAUAUGCUUUGCAAGGCAGAUGGAGUUCCGGCCAGAUAUCCAUUCUUUGUAAUAACGCAAUCACUGAAUGGGAGACAGAUAUCAAAUCAUUCUAUACACAUUGACAGUGAUGACAGCUUGACGAAUAAUAUUUCAUUGAAUUUUUCUAAAUUGCGUUGGGAAGAUUCUGGAACAUACACGUGUAAUGUAUCGAACGGUGUGCGAGGCACCGGCGGUCAACUGCAUAAAUCCGAUUCAACGCAUGUAGUCGUUAAAGUCGGUCCAAAACUUUUGCUAGAAUCGCAACAGAUUUCAGCCCGACAUGGAUCAAGAACUUCAAUUUCUGUGCCAUUCUAUGCCUAUCCAACUGUAGAGCAAUAUUGGCUUCAGUAUCCGUCAGGAUUAAACAAUACCCAUGACAAUCAGACAGUUUCAUUUGAUCUCAAGAAUCAUUAUGUUGACGCAAAAUUUUAUGAAACUCCCGUCAUAUUAAAUGGGAGCUGUUUUAAAGAUCACGUUUACGUCAAUACACGGCGAUGACUAUGGUGAAUACAUUCUGUACGUUCAAAAUGCGAUGAUGACUUCUACUUUUGAAUUUGAAUUAAUAGAAGAAACUGGUGAAAUACUUCAUGUAGCUGCGUAUAUCGGUUGGUCUGUUCUUGGAUGUGUGGCAAUUGGGUCAAUACUUUUGGCUAUACGGGUCGUGCGAAAUAGAAAAAGACUGAUUUGCAGAAGUCAACAUGACGAUAACGCUGAACCAAGUCAAAUAUCAAACGCAAAUCAUGAGAAAAAAUGUUCAUGUUUUUGCCUUACUUGCUGCUGUAACUGUCCGAGUAAAUCGAAACCUAUUCCCGAACCCAACUACACGACCUUGCUGGCGACGCGUGAUGUCUAUGUCAACCAACAGAACAUGACAACUUUGGUAUACAGUGCGAUAAAUCUGGGUGUUUCAAGGUCGGAGGUAGAAAAUGCAAGAGCGUACGGCAUCACAGCAUUGAACAACGUAAAUGACAGGACCUUAAACUCGAAUACAACAAGUGCAGUUGACACAACAGAACCACAACAAAAGCUAUCAAAUUAUGAGAAUGGCUGCGAACUUUAUCUCAACACAAAUAUAAGAGAUGGUACCGCUACCAGACCCGGAUUACAAACGGACGCCCAAUAUGAAGACAUUAUGCUAUAAGGAAAUACAGUCCGUAUCAUGUGGUUCAAUGCUCGCCUGAGAAGUGGGCUGACUUGAAUCCGGAUGUUUCCAACAAAUAUAGCUGCCAUUAAGUGAAUAUGAGUGACACAUUGUACAUGUAUUAUGUUAAACGGUGUUAAACCAAUAUAAUACGCGAAUCAUAUUAAAGUAAGUGUAUGCGUGUUUAUUGGGUUAAUUUCUAUGUUUUAGUGUUAAAUAGAUUUAAUGAAAUUGCAUCGUGAAAAUUGCCGAAAACUUUGUUAACAAAACAAUAAUAAAGCGGGAGAGCAUCUGCAAUCGACGUUAGUUUGGCAAGGCAGGUGUACGCACAGAGCAAUACCUGCUUACGAUUAAUGAAUUGUUCGAUCCAGCAAACAUAAUAAUAUGUAAAGAGUGCAAUUGUUCAAUUAUGCUUACAGGUACAUGUAUAAUCACUUUUUAAUAAUAUGUUACAUGUUUUAAAUGCGCACGUGAGUGUAUUGUGAAUUGUUCUAUCCAUAUUGCAUACAAAACGAUGAUAUAGCUUUGACAUUUAUACAUGAAUACAAACAAAGAGAUUUAUAAAAUUAUGUAAUUAUACAAGAAAUUUAUGUCGCUCAUAGUAAAACAACAUCUAUUGACUGAAUAAAGUCGAUAAGUCAGCAUUUGACUAUAAACGAUGGAUACAAAUACAGGUUUUGUAUAAUAUGUAUCGAACACUUCAAAAACAUGAAAAUAAAGCUUCUCGGACAAACACAGUCAAGCAAGUGUUACAUUUACAUUGUUCUAAUAGCUUUGCAUGUUGUUAAUAUAAUCCUGUACGAAAAGCUUAGCUAUUUGUUUUGGUUUAAAUUCACAGCUCUAACAUUGAUUUAUAUUUUAAAAAUAUAAACAUUUGUGUAUAGUGACGUUUUAAGCAAUUGUACAAUAGUACAUUUAUCAAAGAGUAUUAUUCCUAGCCAUCCAAUGCAGAAUUUAUGAUACUGUCAUAAUCGUGCUUAUAUAACUUUCUGAAAGAAAUGCGUAGGGUAUGAUAUUUUUAUAAUUGCUUCUUGCACAGUUAUGCUGCUUUCAUAUGUCAAGAUCAACUUAUGUUAGGAAGAAGUGAGUAUUUUGUAAAACCGUGUAAUGCAAGAUUAUAUAUAACACUAUAUGUUAUUGCUUCAUUUGCAAAUGUUCUUGUUUUUUUUUGUUAUUAAUUUUUUUUCUCAGAAUGCAUUUUCCACCGACUUUGAUUAUAUAAACGUAACAUACAUUUAAUUGUUAUAUGAAGUGAUAUAAAUAUUGAGCAAUACUACGUUGUUUUGUAAUCAAAUUUACAUGCAAUACGACAUGAUCACAGGCGAGACGAAUGCGGGUAUACAUGUCUAGUUUUAAUUCACUUCCUACUCGUUCAAAAGUCAGGUUGAACGAUAAUCGCUUAAAAUGUAGAAAUGUAAUGUAAAAUGCAUACUUUUUCACAGCCGUAUGGUCGGAUUUAUAAAACCGCAUUCAAAUAUGUAUUUGAUGAAAGGGACUUUUUAACAGUUUUCGUCCUUGAAAUAAGUGUAAUUCAAAUAAAUUUACCAACCCAAUUGUUAUAAUAGAAAUUGUUUGAAUAAUUAUAUCUGAGGGGAACAUGAUAUAACGAAACACAUGUAAUCCCUUGGACUUGAACCCAGGACUUUAUUCUCUACUAUUAUCCUAAAGCUUAUUCUUAAUCUCUAAACCACACAGACUUUUGAUUGAUGCGGUAAAAGUUAACAUCAUGUUCAUAAUAGUCGCAUAAUUAUCGGUUGAAAAGUGUUGUAAACGCUUGAUUUUUGUCCGAUAUCAAUAUAUUACAGGAACCUAUAUUUUAAACAUUUGUCUAAUUCAGAAGUGUUAAUUCGCUUGUUGAAUAUUUGGCAAUUGUUUUGUAAGUUGUCUUUUUAUGAAAGAGAAUACAUGUCCCGUUCAAUGCAUCACUGGAGUACAGUGUACUGAAAUAAUAAGACAGCCUGUUGACACGCACGUACCAUUAAUUGAAUUUGCUCUUUAAACUCAUGUAUGUACAGGGGCGUAGCUGGGCAUACGCAAAUACGUACGUGCGUUCGCUGUUUGAAAAAAGAUAUAAUAUUGUGAAUGUAUGUAUUUUUGCAAUUAAAUGUAUUAUUACUUUGUAUAGCCAUAUCUAUUUACUUUGUAAACACUGUACGCUUAUUUUGUAUACAUACGCUUUUGACUUUCUUGAUAUUGAAUAAACUUCUCAAAACCUU